rnacentral:lncRNA from 1 species
AAAUACUGUAAACCAACUUAUUUUCGCGAGCGAUUUAUUUUCGCGACUUUCGCGAAUAGAAAAAUAACGCGAAUAUUAAUCGUCGCGAAUAUGUUAUACAUGGAUCAUUCCUUAUUGAACUUCAGAAAAUCGCGAAAUUAAAUAGCCGCAAAGUGGUCUGAAAAGGGUAAAACGCGAAAUUAAGUAUCCGCGAAAAUAAGUUGGUUUACAGUAG